UACGUAGGGGGCUAGCGUUGUCCGGAUUUAUUGGGCGUAAAGAGCGUGUAGGCGGCUGGUAGGUCCGCUGUGAAAACUCGGGAGCACCCACGUCGAGGUGUGGAACCGCGAACUCUGGCUAGAGUCCGGAAGAGGAAGUGGAGUACUUCGUGGUGUAGCGGUGAAAUGCGCAGAUAUCAGGAAGAACACCCGUGGCGAAGGCGGCUUUCUGGGACGGUACUGACGCUGAGACGCGAAAGCGUGGGGAGCGAACAGG
rnacentral:rRNA from 1 species